UACCAUUGCUACUACAUCUAUUGGUACUACUGAAAAAAUAAGAUACUUUUUAUAGCUAAUGUUGAGUGCAUAUACCUACUGCACUCUACCUAUAGAUUUAAGUUCUAACAUGUACUAAUUUAUCUAAACUUCAUCUUAACCUGGGAUGGUUGAAUUGUAUCUGUCUUCCCCAAAUUUACAUGUUGAAAUCCUAUAUCCCAAUAUUUCAGAAUGUCUGUAUUUGGAGACAGGGUCCUUAAAGAGGUAAAAUUAGGUCAUUAGGGUGGGCCUUAAUCCAAUUGACUGGUAUUCUUAUAAGAAGAGGAGAUCAGACCACAGAUAUGCACAGAGUAAAGAACAAGUAAAGACACAGACAGAAGAUGGUCCAAGCCAAAGAGGCACAACCCUCUAGACACCUGAUCUCAGAUGUCUAGCCUCCAUAAGUGUGAAAAGUACAUUUGUAUUACAGUCUGUGGUAUCUUUUCAUGGAAGUUCUAGCAAAUGAGUACAUAACCUUAAAGCAGUAUUGAGCUCAGAUGAAGGGUCUACAGAUGCAGGAGCUGACACAGAGAGAAGUGAUUUUGGGAACCCCACACCUUAGAGAAGGUCAGUGACCUCUGCCUGCCCUCUGCACUUUGCCCACCCCCACCCCCUGCCCACCAUGGUCUGUGACGUUGGUGCCAAGGGGCAAGUUCAGCCGGAGUGAUGUUCUUGGUAGAGCUGAAGUGGUCCACCACAGCUACGGCAGACACAGCUCUUUGUUCUCAACUCACUGCUAAUCGUUCAAUUCCAAGGACAACCAGGAACAUCGCAUUUUGUUUCCAGAGCUGCAUGAUAUCUUGAUAUGACGCCAUCUAGUGUUCCAAACUUUGCUAGCAAAAGGAAUGAAGCAUCACCCGCAAAUAAAACAAGAAGACUUCCAACUAGGGGUGGGGGCAGAUAUUAUUACUAAACUAACUUAAAAGCAAA